rnacentral:rRNA from 1 species
UACGGAGGGAGCUAGCGUUAUUCGGAAUUACUGGGCGUAAAGCGCACGUAGGCGGCUUUGUAAGUUAGAGGUGAAAGCCCGGGGCUCAACUCCGGAAUUGCCUUUAAGACUGCAUCGCUAGAAUUGUGGAGAGGUAAGUGGAAUUCCGAGUGUAGAGGUGAAAUUCGUAGAUAUUCGGAAGAACACCAGUGGCGAAGGCGACUUACUGGACACAUAUUGACGCUGAGGUGCGAAAGCGUGGGGAGCAAACAGGG